GGAUAAGUGGUCCAAUGGGCAAGGGGGGCAAAGGCAGAGGGUUGCCAUUAUGUAGAGCCAAGAAAUGCCUCCCUGAUUUGGUGAAAAUUAAAGAGAAACUGGAAGGAAAUAGGGACCAAAUCAUGGGGAUAUCUGAGGCAGGAAUGUUCCUCUCAGAAGGAAGAGCCUUCUGUGCAAAGGCCCUGAGGCAAGGGCAAGAUUGGUGUGUCCUAAGAACAGCAAGGAGGCCAGUGUAGUUAGAGGAGAAUGAGCUAGGUGGGGAGUGGUAGGAAUGAGGUCAGAGAGAGAGAGAGAGAGAGAGAGAGAACAAGCCAGGGACAGAUAAGUCACUAGAGGUCUUCAGCAGAGGAGGGGCAUGUGUGGAGAAAAGACUCCUACCUUUGUGUGGAGAACAGACUGAGUGUAGGGAGCAAAAGCGGAAGCAGGAGACCAGUGUUCAGAAGUUAUAACAGUAAUUUGCACAAGAGAUAUUGGUGACGUGGACUACAGUUGCAGCAGGGGAGGUCAUGAAAAGUAGUGUGAUUAUGGAUAUAUUGGGAAAAAUAUAUUUGAAAGUAUAUUUGGAGCUGGGUUGUAAGUAGGAGAGUUGAGGAUAGCUUCAAUAUUUUUGUCCCAAGCAACUGGAAACGUAAAAUUGCUACUCACUGCAAUGGGAUCACUACAUGAGAUGGAGAUUUUCAGGGGUAGAGAAGAGUAUAGAAGGGACAAACUUUUGGAAAGUCUGAGUUUGUGAAGUCUGAGGUGCCUAUUGGGCAUCCAAAUGGAGCCGUUAAGAACCGUAGUUGCCUUUGUAAGUCUGGAGUUCAGGGAAGAGGAUCAGGUAGAGAAAUAAAUUUGCAAGUUGUUAAUAGGGAAGCGGAAUUUAAAGCCAUGGGCCCGGAGGGGUGUAGAUAAAGUACAGGGUGAGGAGUGAGCCCUGGGGCACUCCAACAUUUGGAGAUUGGAGAAAAGAGGAACUGGAAAAGAAAACUGUGAAGGAGUGAGCAGCCAGUGAUGAAGAAGAACUAAGAGACAGUGGGUAUUGGAAACCAACCAAAAAAAGCAUUUCAAGAAAGAAGUCAUUACCAAAUGACCUAAGUGCUGCUGACGGGAAGUAAAAGGAAGACUAUGAAAUGACAAAUUGAACUUGACGAUGGGAAGGUCACUGGUAACCUUGACAAAGUAGUUUUGGUGGACUGAUGAGGACGAAAGCCCAACUGGAGUUGUUUAGGAAAGGAUAGGAGGGACAGUAGCUCUGGAGACUGUAGUGGAAAAAUAAAAUGUCAAGGUGAAAAUUUGGCAAUGCUACGCAAGAAGUCUUCUAUUUGACUAAUGGAAGGAAGAAAGAAAUUAUUUUUACUACCUCCAGCAGAAACCUGUCUCUCUGGUCAUUAAUAAAUUCAUGAAUGGUCCUUUUUGUGUCUGCACCUUCAAAGAAAAUGGAAAUAGACUUAGGUUUAAUUCAUUAUCCCUCAAAAGCCUGUAUAAAACAAAAGCCAAGUAAUUAAAUCACUGUAUACAGUAUGUAUCUGACUUUAAAAAAUCAUUAUACCUUCAAAUAAACAUUUUUCCUAAUCACUCAAAAGCUGA